GACGAACGCUGGCGGCGUGCUUAACACGUGCAAGUCGAGCGGUAAGGCCCUUUCGGGGUACGACGAGCGGCGAACGGGUGAGUAACACGUGGGUGACCUGCCCUCAGCUCUGGGAUAAGCCUGGGAAACCGGGUCUAAUACCGGAUAUGACUCCAUGACGCAUGUUGUGGGGUGGAAAGCCUUGUGCGGCUGAGGAUGGGCCCGCGGCCUAUCAGCUUGUUGGUGGGGUGANGGCCUACCAAGGCGACGACGGGUAGCCGGCCUGAGAGGGCGACCGGCCACACUGGGACUGAGACACGGCCCAGACUCCUACGGGAGGCAGCAGUGGGGAAUCUUGCGCAAUGGGCGAAAGCCUGACGCAGCGACGCCGCGUGAGGGA
rnacentral:rRNA from 1 species